AUUGAACGCUGGCGGCAUGCCUUACACAUGCAAGUCGAACGGUAACGGGCCUUCGGGUGCCGACGAGUGGCGAACGGGUGAGUAAUGCAUCGGAACGUACCUUUCAGUGGGGGAUAACGUAGCGAAAGUUACGCUAAUACCGCAUAUUCUGUGAGCAGGAAAGCAGGGGAUCGCAAGACCUUGCGCUGAUUGAGCGGCCGAUGUCAGAUUAGCUAGUUGGUGAGGUAAAGGCUCACCAAGGCGACGAUCUGUAGCGGGUCUGAGAGGAUGGUCCGCCACACUGGGACUGGGACACGGCCCAGACUCCUACGGGAGGCAGCAGUGGGGAAUUUUGGACAAUGGGGGCAACCCUGAUCCAGCCAUGCCGCGUGAGUGAAGAAGGCCUUCGGGUUGUAAAGCUCUUUCGGCCGGGAAGAAAUCGCACAGGCUAAUGCCUUGUGUGGAUGACGGUACCGGAAUAAGAAGCACCGGCUAACUACGUGCCAGCCGCCGCAGUAA
rnacentral:rRNA from 1 species